UUAUUACUGAUUAAUUAAUCAGAAUACGCGGAUCCGGAUGGAGUGGAGUAAUGGGUUGUAUGUUUGUUAUACACCCUGGUGAAUUUACAUCCAUUAAAGAAAACAUAAGAUAAAUAUUUAACUACGAUUUAAUAAAGACAAAAAUGUGAAAUCAAAGAAAGAAAUGAUAAAACAUAAAUAACAGUUUUAAAUUUAGAAUUCUAAAUAUUAACCAUGGUUUGUUGUCAAGGGAUGUUUUCAAUGUAUUGUGAUUGAAUGUCUCAGUAUGUUUCUUAGAUUGUGACAUACCCAAGAAAGGUCUCAAAGAAACACUUUCGGUGGUUCCAUAGAUUGAUAUACCAUACUCACGGUGGUUACAUAAAUUGGCAUAUGUGAAAAGUAUCAAACAAUCAGAUGAAGCAUAUAUAGAAUACAUCUUGAAAAACGUUCACAAUCUGUAAAAUGUUAAGAACAAUAUGAACAUUUGAAUUUAGCAGAAGAGCACCAGUUGAGCUAGCAGAGUUCAGGUUUCCGUAUCCUUCACUGACUACUGUCUGUUUAAAGAUGCAACCCAUUUGUCACUAUAACCCAAUUAACUCAAGCUGGAAAUAGAAAUAUUGUUAAUUUUGGGUGUUUCCCGGCGUACUGGAAAGCGUCUGAAAAUUGUGACUCAAGGAACACUUCUCGAAAGAGACGUUAAACAAGAUAUAAUCAAUCAAUCUUCAGGAAGAACAGGGACUAUACUGACAUUUCCUCCCUUUCUAAAGAACUAAGCUAGAAAAAACUCUACAAGUCUAUGAGUUCCCGGGAGCCUCCUUCUGGAAAAUGCGAGGCCUUCGAAAACACGGGUACCUUAAGGUAGCGACGGAUAGCAACCACGUGAUCAGUAAAAAUUGUGUAUUUUCACGUGAAUUCAUUUUCCGGAAUUCCUUACUCCGUCAUAGAAUAGUCGAAAAACAAAAAGGGGUUCCGAAAGUGUUUGUUGCUGUGACUGACUCGCCUAGAGAAAAUAUGCACGUACCACAUAAGUAUACGUCAAUAUCUGUAAUAAUGGUAGAUGAAAUGUUUCAUCUGUGUGAAACUUUUUGCUAAUCGAAAUGUUAAACCAACCACCAAUCCAUGUACAUAGAUGCGCAACGUAAACAAAGUUGUUGGUUGAUACAUCGUAAUGUCCGAGUGCAGCAUGCUGCGAGAUUAAAUACUGUUUAUACAGUCAUUGAGAGGCUAAACAAAGUUUCUUGCAAGAAGAGGAAGUUGGUGGAUGCAUUCAACUUGGACAACGAAAUCAUAGUUUCGUUUGGCAUCAGUCUGAGGACCAAGGGAGGUUAGAUAGGACCAGUGCAGGUUGAUGUGAAUUUCGAGUCAACAAGUAUAACAGCAAGAGAGGUACUCCAUUUACAGUGAUGAUGACAUAUCCCCUGGACCCCCACAACUCCACAAAUUUAAAAAUGUUUGAUCAAGUUCCGAAGAUUAAAGAACUACUGCAAAAUUGGGACUUGGAUGAAAAACGUUAAUUCACUUAUAUGAGCUCAGAGCAGUGGAUGUUGUACAACAUACUUUAAACUAAAUUGUGAAUUUGAGGGAAAACAAGUACAUGUACUCGUGUAUUACAUGUACAUGCCUUUUGAAAGACAAUAAUAUUGCAUAGAUGUAAAGGAAAUUUCAAUGUUGAUUAUUCUUUCUUAGAUAUAUUAGUAAAAAAUGUGCACAUGAUAGAAUAUCAAUUUUAUAACUUCAAUCAAUGUGUUUGAAUUUUCCUUGUAAUUCAAAAUUUAGUUGAAACAUACAUCAUUGAUACAUUAAUGUAUAUAAAAUUUUUAUAAAAGUUUCAUAAUGGAACUAAUUCACCCCUCCCCCCCCCCCCCCCCCCCUUAUACAUACAGUGAACAUAGACCUUCACCUGGGGAAAUCUACUGUUAGUUAAUGCAAUAUACAUGUACAUGCAUUCUCAGUUAUCCAAUAGUGAGUUUUUGGUUCAUUGUGAAACUACAAUUAAAAAUCUUAAACUUAUGAAAGACACACUUAUCUGUGAGGGCAAGAUGACUCAGAUGGACUUACAUGUAGUGAUUCAUGGGCAGUCCAUGGGUCUCUUUCCAUUGAUAUUAAUUAUUUAUUGAAAUAUGAAAUGGUUAUUUAAACAUAUUUGGUGUAUUAUACUGUAUAGUGAUAUAAAUUUCUAUAAAAAAAAUAUGUAUAAGUAAUAGAUUUGGUCCAGUUAUUACAAGAAAUUGUGUGAAAAUAACUAAAUAUUUAGGCAAUCAUUGCGAGUGCAAAAAGGUCAACUGCAAUAGCACACACUAUAUAUCAUUCUUAAAUGGCUCAUAGAAACUUCUAGUAUUGUGAAUUUGAAUGCUCAAUGUGGUAAUUUGGGAAUGCUUAAUCAUUUAAGGUCAAUAGUUUAUCUCUGCUGACUGUAUCUCUUAAAAUUCAUUUCUAGAAGGGAGGGGGUAGGGUUACAAAAUCUGACAUAGUUUCAGAUUAAACCUCAUUUGGUAUAUUUUUUUCCAUUCAAUAUUUUAGAUACUACUUGACUUAUUGUAAAAAUGAAAUAAAAUCAGAAAUUUUA